rnacentral:rRNA from 1 species
GAUGAACGCUGGCGGCGUGCCUAAUACAUGCAAGUCGAGCGAACGGACGAGAAGCUUGCUUCUCUGAUGUUAGCGGCGGACGGGUGAGUAACGCGUGGAUAACCUACCUAUAAGACUGGGAUAACUUCGGGAAACCGUAGCUAAUACCGGAUAAUAUUUUGAACCGCAUGGUUCAAAAGUGAAAGACGGUCUUGCUGUCACUUAUAGAUGGAUCCGCGCUGCAUUAGCUAGUUGGUAAGGUAACGGCUUACCAAGGCAACGAUGCAUAGCCGACCUGAGAGGGUGAUCGGCCACACUGGAACUGAGACACGGUCCAGACUCCUAAGGGAGGCAGCAGUAGGGAAUCUUCCGCAAUGGGCGAAAGCCUGACGGAGCAACGCCGCGUGAGUGAUGAAGGUCUUCGGAUCGUAAAACUCUGUUAUUAGGGAAGAACAUAUGUGUAAGUAACUGUGCACAUCUUGACGGUACCUAAUCAGAAAGCCACGGCUAACUACGUG